CUUGCCCCACCAGGUCCCCCUCUUUCCCUCUUUCCCUUUUGCAUUUGAUUUUAUCUUUCCUUUUAUUUUUAUUUUGAAGGUAGUCUACGAGCAGGCAACGACGGUUAUGGCAUCCUCAUCGGUGGAGACGGUCAGCUGCUCAGGAGCAUGGGUCGAGGCGAGAUGGUGGAAGAUGUGGUGUCUCCCUCCGAUGGCGUCCGCGGGAAUGGCCGGAUCUGUGUCUAGAAAGGCAUGGGAACGACCCCGGUUGCCGUCCGGCGAGCGCUGGAGUGGGGGCGGGUGGUGGCUGCAGAGUAGCAUAGGUGUUAUCCGUGAUUUGUUUUUAAUUUGAAGUUUUUUGUGUUUUGCUACUGGACAGAUGUAUUGUAUGGAAAAAUCUAUAAUUUUAAAUUUCAUGUGGUGUUUUAUUCCUUUUGUGUAAAAUGUUAUUUGUGGUGUAUUUGUACAAUUUCCUUUUAUGCAGUGGCAUGAGCGUAUCAAAAUUUGCAUGAACCAAAGAAAUAAGGGGUAGGCUAAUCUACCAGACUUAAAUUACUG
rnacentral:lncRNA from 1 species